AGCAGCCGCGGUAAUUCCAGCUCCAAUAGCGUAUAUUAAAGUUGUUGCAGUUAAAAAGCUCGUAGUUGAAUUUCGGGGUCAGCAGGUUGGUCGUGCCACUGGUAUGUACUGGCUUUGCUGAUUCCUCCUUCUUGUAGAACCGUAAUGCCAUUAAGUUGGUGUUGCGGGAAAACAGGACUGUUACAUUGAAAAAAUUAGAGUGUUUAAAGCAGGCUAACGCUUGAAUACAUUAGCAUGGAAUAAUGAAAUAGGACGACGAUCCUAUUUUGUUGGUUUCUAGGAUUGACGUAAUGAUUAAUAGGGAUAGUUGGGGGCAUUAGUAUUCAAUUGUCAGAGGUGAAAUUCUUGGAUUUAUUGAAGACUAACUACUGCGAAAGCAUUUGCCAAGGAUGUUUUCAUUAAUCAAGAACGAAAGUUAGGGGAUCGAAGACGAUCAGAUACCGUCGUAGUCUUAACCAUAAACUAUGCCGACUAGGGAUCGGAUGAAGUUAAUUUUUUAAUGACUCA
rnacentral:rRNA from 1 species